CUUUAAAGGGCUUUUCUCAAUGAAUUUGAAGCUUCUGUCUGAGUUUCCACCUGUGAAUAAGAAUUGCAUUGUAAUAAAAAUUAGCCUUAAAGAACACUUUAUCUUAAACAUUCACUUCAAGAAAUUAAUUUUAUUGUUGCCAUUUUAUUACAUAUUGUUUAGGUGUUACCAGGAGCUGAGAUGUGACUAUUAGUGUUCCCUGAAAUUCAAGCAUUGAAACCUCUGUAAUAGUAAGUGGUGGGGCAUCGGAUGUGAUUAUACAACGACUGUAGAGUCCCCAGUGAUGGGGAAAGGAACCUUCUCAAGAAAGCGAUGGAGAGUAUCUUGCUUCUUCUGCACAAUGAGAAGAUGCUGAGAGUAUGACCCAAAGACAUCAGAUCCAUCGGUGUGGAACUCAUUCAGAGCAGUUAGUGGGAUAGGAUGGUUUGAGUAAUGUGCUCUGAAAUAUAGACUGAGAAAUUCUGCUUCAGUUUAAUAUGAAGGGAGGCAUUGUUUGGGCCAGUGGUGGGAUGGAUCAGUGGGUAAGGGCACUUGAUGCCUUGCCUGAUGUUGAGUUUGAUCCCCAGGACCAAUGUGACACAAGAUCUUGAGUUUCCAACCUCCAGAUCAGUAAGAACCAUAUUUAUUUUGAUCUGGCUCAGGUUUUGCAAUCUUUUGAAAGAGAAAAUCUCAAAUUUUUAUCUUGUCUUCUGGUUGGUUUAUUCAUUUUGUACCUCUGCUAACAAUUUUGCUAUGUGUUCUGUGAACUACACCAGAGACCCAGACAUCCUUAAAGGCAUCACUUUUACCUAACUCAACCUUACUCUUUUCUACUACACUGUGCAUCUCUUGGGGUUAAGGUUAAAAUGCAAGCUCAUCAUUGCAUACUACUGAGCACAGCACUAAGCACAUGGAUGCUAACCAAUAUUUAAAUUAAUUAAAAUCCCCAGUUUUGAUGGUUGUCUUUGAUUGUCAACUUAAUGCAACUUACAGUCAUCUGGGAAGCAAACCUCGAUGAAAGGUGGCCUACAUUUGUUUGGCCUGUGAAUCAGUUCUGUAGGGAAAUUCUCUUAUGAAGUUAGUUGAUCUGGGAAUACUCAACUCAUUGUGGGCAGUGCCAUUCUCUAGGCAAGAACUUCUGAACUAUAUGAGUAGAGAAACCAACCUGAGUCAAACAAGCAAGGGGAUAAGCAUGAAUGCACCUAUUCCUCUCUGCUCUUGACUGCGGAUGUCAUGUGACCAGGUAGCUCCUAAUCUGGUAUUUCCACAAUGAUGAACUAUAACUCGAAAUUGUAAGGCAAAUAAACCUUUCCCCCAACACGUUGUUUUUUACCAGGAUACUUUAUCACAGCAACAUAAACAAAAUCAGAACACAGAGUUGGCAGCAAGUGACUUUUCCUACUGUGCCAUCUCAUCAGCUUACGUGUUUCCUAUAAAAUAGUAAAAUAUGUGCAUAAACAUUUGACAGAUUUCAGUAGUUAGGUCAUGGUUUCUGGGAGGUACCAGGGAAAUUUAGUCAUUCUGUACUCUUUCCAUAGUUUGAGCAUGUUGUCAAAGUAUGGUCUUGAAUGAAGCCGUGUAAGGAGAAUUUUGAGAACUUGUGAGAAAACUCCGAAGAAAUGAGACAAAAGUCUUAUAACCUCCGUUUCUCCAUAACAUGGGUGGUUCUUGGAAUGUGCUUUUGUGCCUCUCCCAGGUGCAACAGUAGGAGAGGGUUUACUUCAGAUUAGCCAUUAUCUUACCCACUAGUGUUUAGAUGGUGUUCCCAAGCAUGGUUGGUUGCCUUUGUUACCUGUUGCCACAUACAUCUUAAACUCAUGUGACCUUAUCCUUGUGACUGUAUAGAACUUGAACUUUGCUCACAUGUCCUUGCCUAGCUCUCCUAAUGCCCUCAGAAUAGAAAUGGCCUGAUGCCCUAAAUAAAGUUGGCUCUUGCACAAGCCUUUAGUCCACCUCAUUUCAUGCCCUACUCUCCCAGGUUUAAACAUGUUACCUGAGUUUUCCUGUGCUUGAAGUUCCAGGCUUCAGGAUAAAGGGUAGGCCCAGGGGGUUGUAAGUUUCACAAACAAAACUUGCAACAUUGGAUAUUGACUGUAUUCUAAUAAUGUGCUUGAUGUAGCUACUCUCUCCAGAAGCUGGUUACCCCAGAUUCCUUUGUGGUUUCUCUCACUUCCACUGUAUUUUCUAAAAAGAAUUGGAAACACUAAUAUCACUGCUGGGUUUAUAACACAGUGGUAGAAUACUAGCAUGUGAGAUUGUAGGUUCACUUUGUAUAACUACCAAUAACUAACUAACCAACCAAUUAACCAAUUAAAUUCAAACCUCCCUCCCCAAGGUGUUUGACUAUUUGAUAUUUUAGUACAAAAAAUGCUGGGAAAAUAAACUACUAAUGCCUUUGGAAGCAGUGAUUUGUGUUUAUUUGCCUGUUUUUUAUAUCCUUUCAUUUAAAUUAGCCAUGAUUCCAAGGAACAUUUACCAUGUACAUGAAUGUUUAAAAAUGAAGACUUAAAACCAGAGUAGGAUGCAGGAUUUUAAAGCAAUGCUUGGAAUUGCUCAUGGGACCUAACAUUUAUGACUACACGUGAGUUUGUAAGUACACAAGGAAGUGGGGUGAAGACAGAGGGAGUAGUAUAUUUCAGAGGAAACUUUGCAUUGCCCAAACCACCACGUGGAUGUUUAGAAACACAGGCAGCAUAAUUUUGGUUUAUUUGUUUGCUUCGAAAGGCUUGUUCUUACUCUCAACUCUUCCGGCUUCAGCCUUGGGAACACAGUAUGGUACUAGUUUUGAAUAAAGAAGGUUAUAAGAGUAAUUUUGAGCCUACUUGAAAUUAGUACAUUGAGGAUCACGAGAAUAUUACAAAUGUAGUCUUUUAUGUUUCUACUAAGUGUAAAUUUUGGCAGUGGACAUGAUCCAAGCAGUUUUGAGCUCACCAAGGUUAUGUGGACUCGAAGAUCACUGGCAUGGAGGUGGGAGAGUUUCCUGAGGGUACAGAGUGUUGAAUGAUACAGAAUACUUGAAGAAUCUUCUCUUAGCAGUCCAAAAGCUGGAGUUUGAGUCAGCACGGAGCAUCAUCCUGAUAAUGUUAGAGUGUGUGUAACAGUUUUCCACGUAAAGCUGAUGCCAAGAUAAUCUACCGCUGCACAUCUGAGACACAUCAGAAAAGCCCGGGCUUCCACACAAUAUGGGAACUGUUCCUCAAGUGCUGUGUGCUUCAUGGCUGUUUUGUUCUCUUUUACAAACAAGGAGGAAGCUAGGAAUUGCAUCACGGAUACCGAGACUUGAGAGGCUGAGGAAUCUCAAAUCUCAGUUAUGAUCCAGCUACAGAGCACUGAUCAGAUACUCAAAAAAGGACUCCAAGCAAGAACUAUGUAUUAUGUUAGUGGGACUUAACAUGAACCAUACAUACAAAAAUUAAAACGUCUCUCAAAGAGCCAAAGCCAUCCCUGUGCAUUAUGAAGUUGAAAGCCCAUUUAAGUGCAACAUGACUAAUAGAAGCUAACAGCUGCAAUCCAGAGACCCUAAACUGCUAACUGAAGCUGCACGCAGGUAUCGGAAAGAAGCAUUAUGGAUACAUUAUGAGAAAAAUAAUACAGGAUGCCCAAGCACCCACCGUGAGAAAUAGGAGAGAUAUAGUACAUUGUGGAGAGAAGGGAAAGAAAAGCAGAGUGGUCCCUGCACUGUGGAGAGAAGUGGAACUGGAGAUGCAAUGCAAUGCAAUGUGAGAAACAAGCCCAUAUGAUGAGUGUGCUGUCACCUGAAGACAUGCUGACUUCUGGGGGCAUGCUGCUGCCCAGGGCCAUAUUCAUCUGAGUGGUCUUUGCUGCCACCUGAACCCAUGUUGAUGUUUGAGGACCAUGUUUCUCCUGGCGUCCAUGCUGACCUGAGUGGCCUGUACCCUUCUCUGACACCCAAUCCUCUGCUGCUACCUAGGGUCAUGUCUGAGUUCGUGGCCCUUCUAUGACUGGGAUCUGUGCUGAGGACCUUCACUGUAACCAUGUUGCCAAUGAGGGCUAUUUGGAUGUCUGUGGUCUGGGCUACCGUCUGAGGCCAGGAGGAUGCCCAAGAGAGAGUUGGCCCUGCCCCUUGAUGGCAGCCACAGAUAAGAGAGCUGGAACUUCCUUUUACCUGGACAGUAUAGGAACGUUGUUCAGGAAUGUGUGAGAGGGGGUGAAAUGCCCCUCGGCUUGCUGACUUCAGCACUUAGAAGAGAGGGAUGGUACAUCACCUGGGCAGCCAACACAAUAGAUCUUGGCCUGUGGGAAAGCUGGCCCUAGCCCUUGCCUGCUUGCUGAGAUGUGGAUGAUGGAGAGAUGGCCCUUCCCUUCACCUGAGCAGUGUGGGAGAGCAGUUGUACCUAACUAAUUCAGGUACCAUCCAGGCUCAGAUAGAGGGCUUUGAGUUGGUUGACCCCAACAUCUACUCUAUCCAAGAACUACUGGAGCAUGUGAAGGGACCAGGCCUGCAGAAGCAAAGCUGUAGGGUCUCCAGGACACAGGACAACAGGACUCUGAGAGGAGUGCUGGGGAGGGUUCAGUACUGAUAGCACAGCAGAAAGACAGAGGCCUCGAACCAGUUCAGUGACUCAUUGAAAUGAACACCCACAAGUAAAGCUAUGUGAUGACACACUGCAGCUUCCACUGCAAGAGCUUUUGAGUUGUUGUUUUGUUUCGUUUUUAGUCUGUUUGCUUUCCUUUGGGGGGAGAUUGCAAGGACUGAGAACAGAUAUGGAGGGAUGGGGAGAUGAAUGGGAUUGGGUUACAUUUUGAGAAAUUCACAAAAUAAUUAAUAAAAAGUUUUU